rnacentral:rRNA from 1 species
UAAAUAGCCCGUAUUGCUUUGGCAGUACGCCGGCUUCUUAGAGGGACUAUCGGCUCAAGCCGAUGGAAGUUUGAGGCAAUAACAGGUCUGUGAUGCCCUUAGAUGUUCUGGGCCGCACGGUACGUA